GAAAGCAGCCGCUCUGCCUAAUCAGGCAGCAAGCAGCAUAAUUGUCUCCACACCAAUGAAAACACGGCAGAAAUGACAAAACCCACCAGAUGUGGGGUGAAAGGGCCACAACUUUAUCCAGUCAAGGAUCUCUGCAGCAGAAGAAGGUGCAGGGAGCAGCUGGGUGCAACCUUUCUAUUUGACUUUUAAUGAUGCCAUUAAACUGCAUGUUCUAGA